AUGGAGACGAGGUGCGCCGUCUGUCAUGGCGACAUGGGCCGCGGCCACGCCACCUUCACGGCCGAGUGCUCCCACAGCUUCCACCUCCGCUGCGUCCACCACCAGACCGCCUGCCCGCUCUGCUUCACGCCGUGGCGCGACGUGCCGGGCGUGGCGCCCGCCCAGGACCUGGUCUUCCGCGACGACGAGCCGCUCGAGCCGCAGCCCGCAGCUGCCGCCGCGGAGAAGACGACUGCCAGCGGCGGAGUGAUGUCCAUCAAGACGCACUGCGAGUACCCCGCCAUCGCCAAGGACGCCAGCCGCGACGGCUUCGCGGUGCUCGUGCACGCCAAGGCUCCCGCGCUGGCUCCGGCCGCGGCCAAGGCGGCGCGCGCGCCCCUGGAUCUCGUCAUGGUGCUCGACGUCAGCGGGAGCAUGGGCGGCCGCAAGCUGGCGCUGCUUAAGCAGGCCGUGGGCUUCGUCGUCGACAAGCUCGGCCCCCACGACCGCCUCAGCCUCGUGUCCUUCUCGUGCGACGCCCGCCGCCUCACCCGCCUCACGCGCAUGUCCGACGCCGGGAGGGCCUUGACCGAGCGCACCGUCGAGUCCCUGGCCGCGGGUGGCGGGACCAACAUCAAGGAGGGCCUUCGCGAGGCCGCCAAGGUGAUCGACGGCCGCCGCUACAGGAACGCCGUUACCGGCGUCAUCCUGCUCUCCGACGGUCAAGACAACUACACGCUGUCUUCAAGGUUUUACAAUCACGACGUGGCCACCGACUACAGCGUGCUCGUGCCACCUUCCCUGAUCCGCACGGGCGACGGCCACCGGCGGCACGUUCGCCUUCAUGAGAACGAGGCCGUCAUCCAGGACUCGUUUGCGCAGUGCAUCGGCGGGCUUCUCUCGGUCGCCGCGCAGGAGGCGCGCGUCGCCGUCGAGUGCGUCUGCCCCGGCGUUCGCGUGCGGUCCAUCAAGUCGGGGCGCUACAAGAGCCGCGUCGACGCUGACGGGCGCACCGCCGCGGUGGAGGUCGGCGAGCUGUAUGCCGACGAGGAAAGGCGCUUCCUGCUGUUCGUGGACGUGCCGAAGGCCGGCGCCACGGACGACGUGACAUCGCUGAUGAAGUCAGUGGACGUGGCAGGCGAGGAGGUGGCGGUGAAGAGGCCGGUCGAGGCGCCGGAGGCAGAGCCGGACGUGGAGGUCGAGCGGGAGCGCCUCCGCGUGCAGGCCGCCGAGGACAUCGCCGCGGCGCGGGCGGCGGCCGAGCGCGGCGAGCACGCGGAGGCCUCGGAGCUGCUCAGCCGCCGGCGCAUGGCGCUGAGGCAGUCGCCGCUGGGCGCGAGCGGCGACGCCGGGUGCGCGGAGCUGGCGGCGGAGCUGGGCGAGCGCGUGGAGGACCGGAGGGAGUACGACCUGUCGGGGCGCGCGUCGUUGCUGUGCGGCAUGAGCGCGCACUCGCAGCAGCGCACGUCGGUCAAAGUUGGGAGGCGAGGCACAGCCAUCGCCGCCCUCAAGGACGACGAUGCCGCCGCCGCCUUCGGCGGCGACGGCGGCUCUCGCUAA
rnacentral:rRNA from 1 species